rnacentral:rRNA from 1 species
UACGUAGGGGGCAAGCGUUGUCCGGAAUUAUUGGGCGUAAAGGGCGCGUAGGCGGCGUGACAAGUCACUUGUGAAAUCUCCGGGCUUAACUCGGAACGGUCAAGUGAUACUGUCGUGCUAGAGUACAGAAGGGGCAACUGGAAUUCUCGGUGUAGCGGUGAAAUGCGUAGAUAUCGAGAGGAACACCUGCGGCGAAGGCGGGUUGCUGGGCUGAUACUGACGCUGAGGCGCGAAAGCCAGGGGAGCGAACAGG